UACGAAGGGGGCUAGCGUUGUUCGGAUUUACUGGGCGUAAAGCGCACGUAGGCGGAUCGAUCAGUCAGGGGUGAAAUCCCAGAGCUCAACUCCAGAACUGCCUUCGAUACUGGCGAUCUCGAGUUCGGGAGAGGUGAGUGGAACUGCGAGUGUAGAGGUGAAAUUCGUAGAUAUUCGCAAGAACACCAGUGGCGAAGGCGGCUCACUGGCCCGAUACUGACGCUGAGGUGCGAAAGCGUGGGGAGCAAACAGG
rnacentral:rRNA from 1 species